AUCUUACUCCCUCCGUCCGAAAAAACUUGUCAUCAAAAUGGACAAAAAGGGAUGUAUCUAGAACUAAAAUACAUCUAGAUACAUCCCCUUUUAUUCAUUUUAAUGACAAGUAUUUCCGGACGGAGGGAGUACUUA
rnacentral:pre_miRNA from 1 species